GAGGGUAUAGCUCAAGUGGUAGAGUGCAUGCUUAGCAUGCAUGAGGUCCUGGGUUCAAUCCCCCGUACUUCUCU
rfam:Camelus ferus unplaced genomic scaffold scaffold2228, whole genome shotgun sequence.